AAAUUGGUAUCACUAGUUACGUUGACAUGGUACGGUUAAGGGCACACCGCAAUCGUGUUCAUUUGUUUCAGUUUAAACAUACACUAUCUAUUGUAUCGUGCAGUCUUGUUUAACCAAUUAUCUACGUUGUGGUUCUGAACUUACAGGAUACGGUAUUAUAAGCAUUUGCAGGACCUGCGUGACGAACAAUUUAAUAGUCUUGCGUUGGCCCAUGGACAUCAUGGUACCAAAUGUCUCCACCACGAACGGUAUAACCACAUUCGAAAUGAUGGCAGCAAUGUGGCAUAACAACAGAGGCAUUGGCAACCAGGGUGAUCUGCCAUGGCCAAAGUUGAAGGUCGAUUUUGAGUAUUAUUUAAAGACCACAUCCACACACAAGAAAGAUAUUAACUGCGUACCAUGGAGUGCUCCGAGAGUCCGCAGUUGGUCGCAAAGGUCCGCAAGGCUUCGCUGUUACAGUCGUCUGGAAACCGAAGAGGUGAGUCCGUCGACCACCAGGCUAAAAAUACAUCACCAACGCCGGGU